GAUGAACGCUGGCGGCGUGCCUAAUACAUGCAAGUCGAGCGAACAGACGAGGAGCUUGCUCCUCUGACGUUAGCGGCGGACGGGUGAGUAACACGUGGAUAACCUACCUAUAAGACUGGGAUAACUUCGGGAAACCGGAGCUAAUACCGGAUAAUAUAUUGAACCGCAUGGGUCAAUAGUGAAAGACGGUUUUGCUGUCACUUAUAGAUGGAUCCGCGCCGCAUUAGCUAGUUGGUAAGGUAACGGCUUACCAAGGCAACGAUGCGUAGCCGAGCUGAGAGGGUGAUCGGCCACACUGGAACUUAGACACGGUCCAGGCUCCUACGGGAGGCAGCAGUAGGGAAUCUUCCGCAAUGGGCGAAAGCCUGACGGAGCAACGCCGCGUGAGUGAUGAAGGUCUUCGGAUCGUAAAACUCUGUUAUUAGGGAAGAACAAAUGUGUAAGUAACUAUGCACGUCUUGACGGUACCUAAUCAGAAAGCCACGGCUAACUACGUG
rnacentral:rRNA from 1 species